rnacentral:tmRNA from 2 species
GGGGGCGUUACCGGUGAUCGAUUCUCCGGUCAAGCUUGAAAACUGUGCAAGCCGAGGGCUCAGGUAGGUUGGCCUCGUAAAAAAACCUGCUAAAAACUUAUAAAUGCCAACGAAGAAUUGGCUCUUGCUGCCUAAAAGAAAGCGGCAAGCGUUCUUUUCCACUUUUCCGGCGGAGUGGAAAAGGGCGUGUUCAUUAGCCGGAGAGCAUCGAAAAGUUUGAACCUUGUAUUCGAUGCUUAAUUUAAAGGUUCACGUUGUGGAAUUUUAGGUUCGCGGUUCCGCUUUUCCACGACGGUUAAAAUGAAAAAACCGCUAAGCUUGUAGGACAAUUUUUAAGCUUCCGAGAAGACGAGGGUUCGACUCCCUCCGCCUCCACCA